GACGUAGGGCGCGAGCGUUGUCCGGAAUUAUUGGGCGUAAAGAGCUCGUAGGCGGUCUGUCGCGUCGGCUGUGAAAUCCCGAGGCUCAACCUCGGGUCUGCAGUCGAUACGGGCAAACUAGAGUAUUGCAGGGGAGACUGGAAUUCCUGGUGUAGCGGUGAAAUGCGCAGAUAUCAGGAGGAACACCGGUGGCGAAGGCGGGUCUCUGGGCAAUAACUGACGCUGAGGAGCGAAAGCGUGGGGAGCGAACAGG
rnacentral:rRNA from 1 species